GUGUGUGUUCAGAAUCAGACCCUCCCCAAAUGGUUUUAGAAACAAGGGAAGGCUUGGUGUCUGUCUCUUCUUUUCUUUCUUUAAAAAUAAUAGAUAAUUAAAGCACGUGGCAGAUGAAUAGCAUUUGUCAAGAGUCUCUGCUUAAAGUGGGUGGAGGGGAAGUCUUUGAUUCUUAGCAGUAAUUUGGGUCUGGGGCAGCAAGCUUUCAGUUCAUGAGGCUAUUGAUAAACUAUUGAUGACCACUGGCUCCAAAACUGGGAAAGUCAGAAAUAAAAGGAUGUGCAGACAGAGUGGGGAUCUAGCAGUGGGUUUCCUUCUGAACCACCACUUUCUAAGUAAAGAAAGAAAGGGGCCAAAAAACAAGGGCUCAGCUGGCCUUUUUAACCAGAGGAGUGCAUACAUGACAAAGAAUAAGUAAAUUAAAAAAUACAAGCCCAAACUGCCAAUUUUGGCAAGUCCACAGACUUGCUUUCUAAGUACAUGUGGCAGGGUCCCCAGAGAGUGAGUUACUAAAAUGUUGGCAUGCGUCCUGGGAGGGCUGCAGAGAAAACAGUCACUUCCACAGCCCUCUUCUGUCACUGCCCAUCGGGAACGCUGGCCUAAAUGAGCUACUUGGCUUGGUCACGUAGGAACGUGUGCCCAGGUUCCACCUGUUACUCAACACUCCCACCAGGGCAGCAGGCAGUAACCAAGAAAGGAAACAGGAGGAGAAAGAAGGGGUUACAACAGAUGCAGAACCAGGAGUUGACUUCUCCAUCAGGCUCCCACCCAGCAUCUUUGGAGCAGGUUUGGAGCUGCGGGUGAGCUGGGUGCAGUGCAGUUGAAGCAGGAGGAAGACGGCUGUGGAUGAAUCUAGAAAUCGUGGGUCAGACUCAGGGAGCGGAUGGCCCAGAUGCAGCCAAACACAGAAACCGGAGGAGAGAGGCAUGGGGGAGCCUGACAGGAAGUGAGGAUUCUGGGACUUCAAAUACACACAUUAGAAAAAACAAGCAACAUCUGCAAACAGUUCCAUUCUUUCAUCGAAGACACUCUUGCAAAGGCACUUCCUGGACAGUUGCGUGUAACGGAGCAAUCUCCAAGCAGUGGGAAAUCAGAGACACCGAACUGUUAGCACCCUUAAUAUUUGGUUUCCCUUGUAGUUCAGCUGGCAAAGAGCCUGCUUGCAAUGCAGGAGACCCGGGUUCAAUUCCUAGGUUGGGAAGAUCCCCUGGAGAAGGAAAUGGCAACUCACUCCAGUGUUCUUGCCUGGAGAAUCCCAAGGACAGAGGGGCCUGGCGGACUGCAGUCCAUGGGGUCGCAAGAGUUGGACACAACUUAGCGGCUAAACCACAACCACAAUAUUGGUUAAUUCUGCAUCAUGAUUUCAGAAUUGAUUCUGGAAGACUCUUCUGGCUCCUCUACACCCUAGGUGCCUAGGCCAUUGGGUGACCUACUUUAUUUAGAAGGGGAUGGGGGAAAGGACCCUGACAUAGAAGCAGACAAUUGAUGCCUGCCUCGGCAACAUGUAAACAAAAUCCACGCACCUUGCCCUGGGGAUCGCCUUGGUAGUAUCUAGUUUGACAGAAUUUGCCAUUCAGCAUCUCGCGGACCAGGCGCCUCAACCUGCUAGAAAUUCUAGAGGGAAAAAUCACGCCUGAAUGACUGCUGUCUGUGGCCUGUGGAAUCCUAAAUAGAAUGAAGCAGGCCUCCGACAAUCAAUAUUACUGACAUAUUAAUCUCUGUGAAUAAACUGUUGUGCACUUUAAGGCUGUCCCAGUCCUCCCAAAUAAUCUUUUAAAUGCAGUGG
ensembl:lncRNA